GAUUAGCUUUUUAAAAUAUAAAGUGAUAAAAAAAAAACUAUUUGGUACAUGCAAAGGGUGGGGAGGAGAAAUAUGGUUGAAAUUGUCAAGUUUACUUAUGUUAUGAUUAUCCUUAUUUCCUUAUUUCUUUUUUCAACGAACGUUGACGCGUUGCGUCUUAGAUGUGUUCAUGUUUCUAAGUGUCCAAAAAUGUAUUGCAAUAGGGGUUUUGAACUAGGUUGUGUACAAAAAUAUUGUAAAUGUGUUAGAAUCACUUAAAUAAUAGAUUUUGUCCCCAUAUAUGUAUUUAGUUUCAGACGCCAGGAGAAUACACAAACGCCAUGCUCAAACUUUUCACGAGUUGUGAUUUGAUUAUUGUGUUGGAACCUAAUAAUUUGAAUUUCUUUCCCUUUAUAAGUUCAAAAACUUUGUAGUUAUGAAUUUGUACUAUAAGAGAUGGUAAUUAAAUAAAAUAAUCUAGUAAUUAAUAUUAUUUAGAUUGUUCCA